rnacentral:lncRNA from 1 species
GACUGGGUUGGGCUGGAAAGUUUCCUUGAAGGAAGGGGAAAGGGAUUUGGCCAGCAGGGAACGGCGAAACUGGAGGAGGAGCCACCCUCCGUCCUGGUUUUGCUUUGGACUAGCGGAUGCUCAGAGUGGUUUCGGGCUGGCGAGGGCUGCGGCUCCUCUCCAGGAUGUGUUUCACCGUCUGCCGGAGGCUGCCAAGCUGCAGUACCGGCAUCGCCGGCGGACACUUCUCCCGGCUGGCCCAGCUCUGCUGUGCUGUGGAUCGGCGCGGGAUGGGGACCGCCGAGCUGCCGGGAAGGGGAAGAGAGGAUGGCCUCGUAGAUCCCACCGAGCUCCUGCCUGCUCUGCCUGGACUGAGAGGACGGACCGUAAGUAGCCGUGACACCCCCCCGCCAGCUUAUCGUCGUCCCGACGGGGACCGGCUUCAGCUUCUCCUGCUGCCGGGGAUGCUGGAAAAGGUCUUCCCGACACAAGCAUCCUCCUCCUGGCACGGCUGAUGGGAUUAAUGGAGCAUCGAGGUGAUGCUGGGGGUGCAAAGCGAUGGAGCGGGUUAUUUUACGGAUAUUUUCCGCCGGGGCCGAUAACAUGGGAGAAAAGAGCAGGGGAGUUGUGCGAGCGUGCCGGCGUAGGGGCAGGGGAGUAAAUCCGUCUGGUUUACCCCAGAGGUUUCGGGGCCGGAGGACCAAAGCUCAAGGGUGGGGUUACUUUAGAGGUUAUGCUACCCCAAAACUGGCCUGUUUGCCAGCACGAAAGAGGAGGCGUGGAGGAAAUGGCGAGGAAACCGCAGGGCUGCCGUGGCGGGGGGUUUAAGGUGGUGCUUGGAGCAUUGCAAAGGGGAUGGCAACUGGGCAGAAGGCUUUUGAGUCCCUAAAAGGGGACCACUAGUCAAAAGCCACUGGGGAUGGUAGCUGCCAGUGGGAUAACUCGGCCCUGGGGCUUCUGAUCCCUUCAUUUCCCACCCCCUUUCCCCAGAGAGCGGGGCUCGAAGCCGGGCGUUGCUUGGGUUGGGGUUGGAGAUGGGUCGGAGCAUCUCGAUGGUUUAGUUUUUCACCUCCCUGGACUGUUCGCGUCCCCGCGGUGAGGGAGCGGGUGCUGCCUGCGGAUGCUUUGCCUGCUGCUCCUGGGG